rnacentral:rRNA from 1 species
AGGGUUUGAUUCUGGCUCAGGAUGAACGCUAGCGGCAGGCCUAACACAUUCAAGUCGGGGGGUAACAUUGUAGCUUGCUACAGAUGACGACCGGCGCACGGGUGCGUAACGCGUAUACAACCUGCCUUUCGCUGAGGGAUAGCCCAGAGAAAUUUGGAUUAACACCUCAUGGUAUAUAUUUAUCGCAUGGUAGAUAUAUUAAAGGUUACGGCGAAGGAUGAGCAUGCGUCCCAUUAGCUAGUUGGUGAGGUAACGGCUCACCAAGGCAACGAUGGGUAGGGGUUCUGAGAGGAUGAUCCCCCACACUGGUACUGAGACACGGACCAGACUCCUACGGGAGGCAGCAGUGAGGAAUAUUGGGCAAUGGACGAAAGUCUGACCCAGCCAUGCCGCGUGCAGGAUGACGGCCCUAUGGGUUGUAAACUGCUUUUAUAUGGGAAGAAAAAGGGGCACGUGUGCCCUACUGACGGUACCGUAAGAAUAAGGACCGGCUAACUCCGUGCCAGCAGCCGCGGUAAUACGGAGGGUCCGAGCGUUAUCCGGAAUCAUUGGGUUUAAAGGGUCCGUAGGCGGGAAUCUAAGUCAGUGGUGAAAUCUUGCAGCUCAACUGUAGAACUGCCUUUGAUACUGAUGGUCUUGAGUUAUGGUGAAGUGGCUGGAAUAUGUAGUGUAGCGGUGAAAUGCUUAGAUAUUACAUAGCACACCGAUAGCGAAGGCAGCUUACUAAACUUGUACUGACGCUCAUGAACGAAAGCGUGGGGAGCGAACAAGAUUAGAUACCCUGGUAGUCCACGCCGUAAACGAUGGAUACUAGCUGUCCGCUGAGCAGUGGGCGGCCAAGCGAAAGUGAUAAGUAUCCCACCUGGGGAAUACGUUCGCAAGAAUGAAACUCAAAGGAAUUGACGGGGGCCCGCACAAGCGGUGGAGCAUGUGGUUUAAUUCGAUGAUACGCGAGGAACCUUACCAGGGCUUAAAUGUAGAUUGACAGGGCUAGAGAUAGCUUUUCCUUCGGGCAAUUUACAAGGUGCUGCAUGGUUGUCGUCAGCUCGUGCCGUGAGGUGUCAGGUUAAGUCCUAUAACGAGCGCAACCCCUGCCGUUAGUUGCCAGCAUGUAAAGAUGGGGACUCUAACGGGACUGCCGGUGCAAACCGUGAGGAAGGUGGGGAUGACGUCAAAUCAUCACGGCCCUUACGUCCUGGGCCACACACGUGCUACAAUGGCCGGUACAGAGAGCAGCCAUGUUGCAAGACAGAGCGAAUCUAUAAAACCGGUCACAGUUCGGAUCGGGGUCUGCAACUCGACCCCGUGAAGCUGGAAUCGCUAGUAAUCGGAUAUCAGCCAUGAUCCGGUGAAUACGUUCCCGGGCCUUGUACACACCGCCCGUCAAGCCAUGGAAGCCGGGAGUGCCUGAAGUCCGUCACCGUAAGGAGCGGCCUAGGGCAAGAUCGGUAACUAGGGCUAAGUCGUAACAAGGUAGCC